rnacentral:misc_RNA from 1 species
GAUGAAGAACGCAGUGAAAUGCGAUAAGUAAUGUGAAUUGCAGAAUUCAGUGAAUCAUCGAAUCUUUGAACGCACAUUGCGCCCCCUGGUAUUCCGGGGGGCAUGCCUGUCCGAGCGUCAUUACAACCCUCAAGCUCAGCUUGGUGUUGGGCCCCGCCGCCCCGGCGGGCCCUAAAGUCAGUGGUGGUGCCGUCCGGCUCCGAGCGUAGUAAUUCUUCUCGCUCUGGAGGUCCGGUCGUGUGCUCGCCAGCAACCCCCAAUUUUUUUCAGGUUGACCUCGGAUCAGGUAGGGAUACCCGCUGAACUUAAGCAUAUCAAUAACGGAGGA